UUCUCAUGUUAAUGUUGUCCAAAUUCUUGGAUUCUGUUUAGAAGGAAAGAAGAAAGCACUUAUUUAUGAAUUCAUGCCUAAUGGUUCCCUCGACAAGUUUAUCGGUAAUAAGGGACUAGAAAGCACUCCAUUCUUGAGUUGGGAUAAUGUGUUGCAAAUUGCAAAAGGGAUAGCGAGAGGACUAGAGUACCUGCACAAGGGAUGCAACACUCGUAUUUUACACUUUGACAUAAAACCACAUAACAUUCUUUUGGAUGACAACUUCUGUCCCAAGAUAUCAGACUUUGGGCUUGCAAAACUUUGUCCUGGGAAAGAGAGCACUGUUUCAGUUUCAGAUGCGAGAGGAACAAUAGGAUAUGUAGCUCCUGAAGUGUGCAACAAACAUUUUGGUGGAGUAUCACAAAAAUCUGAUGUGUAUAGCUAUGGAAUGAUGCUACUAGAAAUAGUGGGAGUGAGGAAUAAUAUUAAUGANGAAGCCACUGAAACAAGUGAAUACUUCCCAGAUUGGAUAUACAGAAAGCUGGAGCAAGANCAAGAUUUGAGAAGUGAUGAUGUGAUAGNGACAAAAGAAAAAGAGACAGAAAGGAGAAUGAUUGCAGUUAGUUUGUGGUGCAUUCAAACCCUUCCUAAGGAUAGACCUACUAUGAGUAGAGUAAUAGAAAUGUUAGAAGGUAACAUGAAUUCCCAAGAAAUACCCCCAAAACCUGUUCUUUCUUAUCCCUCAACUGGAUUGGUGCAAGAAUGGACCACUAGUUCCUUGCAGUCUGAGUAGAUUUUAAAAGUUAUUUUUCAAAGAAGAUCACUCAACAUAAUUAUGUUUUAUUUGUAAUAUUUCAAGUGAACGUUCAAUAUUGAGUUUUAUAAAGUUGAAUAAUCAGCUGGAAUAUUAAUUUCAUAUGCAUAUAUAUCAAAAUGUUUUGGAAUCAGCAUGCGAUUUUAAAUUUGUAUAAAAGUGUAUAUAUAUAAACAUAAUAAGAAUUGCCGGAGUAUUUCUGAUAGUUGCAUCUUGACAGAGGGCGGUUCACAACUUCAAUAAAAUGUUACAAAUUUGAAAAAAUUGGACUGUUUAAAAACAAAGCAAGACUAGAACAAGAUAAUGAUAAUUGUUUUAGGUAUGGAGUUGAGAUAAACGAUCUGAACUCUAAUGAGUCGUUCAAAGUUUAAAAACUGUUUUGAAAGCUAAAUGUUGGGUCAAACGGAUCAUUCAAAUUUCUGGGAGGGUAUGAUACAAGACACUUUCUUGCUAAAGUAAACCCAAUGUUGACAGCUAAAAAUUAAAGAUACAAUAAAUGCAAAAUCACGUACAUAUCUCAAAUUUCUAUUUAUAGAUAUGAGAAUGAAUUUGUAAUAAGUAUUGAUCUAAUCACAAUCCAAUUGUGAGUAAUAAUCUUCUUCUUUAUCAAUAAUUUUCUUUACAUUUCUUCUAUGCAACUUAGUUUUUUAGGUUAAUAUUUAUGAUUAAUUUAAAUCUCAAUAUUUUUACUUUUUGCAGCAAGCCUCGCAUUAUUAUUGCACUAUGAAUGUUCAAAUAUGCAUAAUUGUAUGUUACAUAAGAUUUAUCCGUAUGUAAUUAUUUAUAGGUUUUACACACAAAUUUAUCCGUGUGUAAUUAUUUAUGGAUAAAUUCGUAUGUAACAUUAUCUAUUAUUAUUUUACAUACGAAUUUUAUCCAUAGAUAGUUCAUACAUAAUGUAUUUUUACAUAAGAAUUUUUUAUGUUAGAUACGAAUUUUGGCAAUACAUAAUUAAUUUUUUUUUUGUAGUGAAUCAUACUUUAUCUUAUUGAUUGUCUAGUUUAUAAUUGAUUGGGCAAUAAUACCAUACAAUAAAUAAACAUGGACUACAUUUGAAUUUCUAACGAAAAACCUAAUUUUAUAAAAUUAUAACGUAAAUUUGUAUUUGUUUAUGAAAUUAUUGAUAUAUAGUUUUCAGUCUGAGGAUAAAUGAUAUAUCUUUGUUGGUUUUUACAGUAUAACACUUGCAAGUGACAUUAGCUACAGUUUUUAGUCAGACAUUUCUUGUUGUGCAUAUGCCUCUACCAUUAAUCAUUAAGAGGAAAAACUUUCAUCAUUAAUAUAUUUUCUAAUUUAAUAUUUAAAAUAAAAAAUAAGAAAUUGAAGCUUAUCCCAUAUAAAAAUUACUUAAUUAAUAGUAUCACACAAAUCAUUAUGGUCAUAUUUUUAAUUUUAAUUUUCAAGUUAUUGGGAAAAUAAAUUUGGAUACCUAAAUUUUACUUUCUAUGAUUUCAGACCUCAGAAUUUAAUUAAUUGAUUUUCAAAAAAUUUUGCUGUGAAUAAGCUUUGGUUUUCCCCUUAUCUUUUCUUUCCCAACAAAAUCAUCCACUUGUUCUGGUUCCCCCUAGUCACAAAAUAGUAUUGGAUUUUAACAUAAGGUAUUUAUAACACCUUGUUUGAUAUGUGCUACAUAUAUAUAUAUAUAUAUAUAUAUAUAUAUAUAUAUAUAUAUAUAUAUAUAUAUAUAUAUAUAUAUAUAUAUUUUAGUAAAUUUUGUUUAGUAUACAGAGUACACGUAUAUUGUUUAAACGAAAGUAAACAUUAUUAUAAAUUAAUAAAAAUUAGUAUACUAAAAUUAUGAUGAGAAUAAUUAUUAGUUCAUAUAUUGUUAGCCUACACAUAUUUACUCAAAAAAUAACUGGGAGGUUGGAGAUGAUAUUUUGACCAGACUUUGAGCUUCAUUGCACAUUUUUCUAGGUCGAACUGUGUUUUUCUCUCUUGGUUUGACUUUGAGGUUCUACAUUUACACUAUUUUAUAUAUUUUAUUUGAAAUUUAAGAGUCAGAAUUUUCAAAGUUUAAUACCAUAUCGUCAACACCAUUUAUUUUAAUAGCUAUCAAUGUAGUUAGGAACUUGAGUUAGUUUGACUUAUAAAGAGAUUGUUGUUGUGUAGUUCAUCAUUUCCCUCACUGACAAACAAGGCCUCUCACAUUGUUCUCCUGCAAAUUAAGGCCACUCUCAGAUUUCUAUCAUGCCUCUUCCUCUUGUUUCAUCUCCUUCUGCCAUCAUCAGCACCCUUUUCUUCUUGUCACUGUUCUUCCAAACAUAUUUAUCUAGUCAUGCUGCAAGGUCUCCAGCACCAACACCUACAGUAAUACCAGAAAAUUCACCAUUACCACCCUUUUUCCCUUAUUAUUAUUCAAAACUGUCUCCACCAGAGUCUCCACGUGCUCAGAGUAUGUUUUCUUCCUUCUCUACUUUUUAUUAUGUUCUCCUGCUAUAAUCUUAAUCUUUUCAAUGGUGCCAUUCAACUUCUUUUUCAUAAUACCUUACAUGUCCAGAAACAUGUUGAGAAGUGAAAAAUCACGUUGAGGAUGUAAAAGUCCGCUAAUUUAUGAAUACCAACUAGACUCCAUUGCUUUCGAUGAUCCAUCAGCAUCUACUUUGGAUUUUGUAAAUCAACACUGAAAUUAUAAUAACUUUUUUAGACACAAAAAAUAAAGUAUAGAAGAUAUUGAAAUAAGCGUACUAAAAGGAAAUUAUAAAUAACACCUUUCUUUUAACUUUAAUUUCGUGUGUUUCGCUGAUAUAUAUAUUAUAUUAUAUUAUAUUAAUGGUUGGUCGUAUCUUUGUGGAAGUUUGGAUUACAUUAGUCAUUAGGAUAAAUAUAAGGAUUUAUGAGAGAGAGGGAAGUGAAAAGAAGUGUGAGAAUGGAUGAUAAGUAUAGUCACAUCCACACUUCUCCCCUUGCCUUUGCACUCACCGUCUCUUGCUUCUUCUGCAUCGGUUUGCCACAUUCCCACUCUGAAAAAUUGCUGCUGCCACUGCCAUCACCGCCGCCGCCGCCACCGCUUUGUGCUGAGCAGUCAUACAUGUGCAACAUAAAGGUUUCCGGCAUCUUGGAUCCUGUCUGGAAACAGAUUCCUCCCUCUCAGUGUAUCGGCACCGACCCAUCACCCCAGCUCAGCUGCUCUGUUCCUUAUUAUGAAUCUCAAAAUUUCACACUGAAGAAGGUCAACCACACCACUCACACCAUGACGGUGGUGCCAACAUACACUGUCAACGAUUUGUGUUCUCAUGAUGUUUUUUACAUUUACGACAACUUGAACAACAGUCUGUUACGACAUUACGAGUCAGUAUACAACGUCAUCGUAUUCUUCGGUGGUUGUCCUCAUAGCAUCCCAGGUUUCCCUUUAGAACGCAGUUUUAAAUGCGGGGAUGCUGCGUUCUAUUUUGGGGAGGAGGAUGAGAUGUUGCACAAAGUACCCGCAUCGCUUCUGGAUUGCAAGAGAAGGUUGCUAAUGCCCAUUGCCGCUCCUCUCGAUCAUUAUGAUAAUAAAGAUGGUGGAGCUGAAGUUCUUAUAGAAGCUCUGGCGGAUGGGUUUGAGAUCUCCUAUAGUCCUCUUCAACAUUGCACAGGAUGCAACCAAAGUAUCGGAAAUUGCUGGAACGAUGGUUAUGAUUAUGAUGGAGAUGUAGUUUCAUGCAACUACUAUUGCCCAAAUCAUUACUGUUCUUCCAAAAGGAGUGGUAUGCCUUCUCUCCUCAUAUCUUACACAUCAUUGCCACAAAAUCCUCUUUUUAGCUACUCACUUCCCAUUUUCUCUUUAAUAUACUCCUACCGUUUAACCAACACGCACUUUGAUGCAACAAAGGCAAAAUUAGCGUAACAAAAUCAGUGCAGUCUGGAAAGUUUUGUAUUUUGCAGACCUUGAUGAUUUAUUUUGAUGAAAGAAGUACCUUGAUAAACUAGAACAAAUGUAGAUAUGAAUUAAUAAUAAACAGUACUGGUAAAGAUUGAAGUUAGCCAUUAUAAUUAUAAUGAAAAUAAUUAAUAAUAAUUCAAAUUUACUGAAUAAUAUAUGGGGGUUUCGAUGAGAAUUACGUUGUUGACCUGAUGACAAUGAGAAAAACAAGAGUUGCUGACUCCACCUUUUCCAAGUCAUGUUGAUAUUUGGUUCCUUCUUCACACCUUCAUUUCCAUCCUUCAGCUUUGACUCGGUCAAUAACCAAAUUAAAUUCAUCUCUCUAUUUCCUUUCCAGCUAUUUAUUACUUUCUUUCUCCAUUCUCAUUUUUUUUCUUCUUUUCCCAUACGCGUCAAUUCAAUCCCCUUUCUAUGUAUCAACUUUGACUUUUAGUACCAUUUUCCUGAAAUUUUUCUUUUUAACCAUUGAAUAAUGUUAUCAAGUAGUUUCUCUAUGAACUACAAUCCCUGUUUGGCUCUAUUUGUAUGUCUAAAUUUGUUUUUAACUGUAAUUCUGAUUGUUCAUGUAUCUAAAAUUUGUUUGUCGAAUAAUUUCAAACAUAUUAUAUAUACUGCCAUGCAUGUAGUGCAUAUAUAAUUGUAAGAUAUAUAAUUAUUAAGAAAAGACAUGGAAAAGAGAAUAACUCAAGACAAAAUUUCCUGUAUAUCCUUUUAAGAGGCAAAGUUUGAUCUAUUAUGAAAUUAUUACUUAUACAUAACUCACAGUCUAAGCAUAAAUGUAUUGUUUUUUUGUGGUCUAAAAUUAUUGGGACCCGUCCUUAACAUCAUGCACGACAAUAAAGUAUUAUCCAUCCUUUUUCUACUUUUCUUUCUUUUACUUUCAUUUUACAAGAUGCAUGUGCAUGUAACACCAAUCAUUCAGAAGAGGAAAACUUUUUCAUUAAUAAUAUAGGUUUUAAUUUAGCAGCUCAUGAGUGAUGAUUUAAAAAUUAAAUGAACAAUGAUAUUUUACAAUAUAUAAUUAGUAAUUCAUUAACUUAGAUAUCUAUAUUAUUAUAAUUAGUUAUGAAGUAAUUGUAUAUUCUCAAAAAAAAAAAACUUUAUUGAAAUUAAACAGCAUCGUAAGUGAUAUAUAUAUUAAGGGUAUAAUUGUGAUUUUAGUUUUGAACAGAGUUGUUGAUUGUAUUUGUGAGUAAAUGUAGAUGUUUUCCUCCUUUUGUGGUCCAACACGUCUUUCACCAUCAUGGACAUCAUUUUCGGCUUUCUUCUACUUUUGAGAUUUUUAAAGUAUUAAAUUGCGAAGCAGACUUUGAUUUCUUCAGUUAUUCUUAUUUUUUCCUAAAAUAUGGUUGCUCAAACAAAAUCAUCCACUAUUUUGAUUUUCCCCUUUAGUAAUGAAACAUUCAUCAAUUUUAAAAUAUUACUCUUUAUUGCUUUCAUAGCUUUUAGUCAUGACCUUGCAAUAUUUGUAUACAUGACUGUAUAUCUAAAUUCUUAUCUAUUCAAUGGAGCUAUAUACCUACGGUUGCAUUCCGAUACAAAAGCUAUUCCUUGAAUGAGUGUCAGCUUAUGGCAAAUGCGCCAUUUAGCAUGAAUGCUUCGGUUAAUUUCACUUGCUUAUUGAGAAUGAAUUACAUCGAGAUUUUGAAGACGGGGUUUCUUUUGAACUGGACUACACCUGAUUGCGAAUACUGUGAGAAAAGUGGUGAACGUUGUGGAUUUGAUGACAAUUAGUUUCCUGUUUCUGCAAGGAUAAGUCCUACUUAAGAAUAUAUUUUUGAAAUAUUGAUUAUUUUUGUUGUUGUUUAUUCAGAUCCCUGUGAUGCUUCUAUUCCUUUCAUGUUUUGUUUCCCCAUUUCCUUCUUUUGGGUACAGAAGCAAUUUCAAUCCUACAAUGGCAUUUCAGAAUAUGCUAGCCAAAUUAGUAUACCAGAACUUUGACUAAAGUAUCUUCAUAGAUCAGAUGAUGAUUGUUUCACAAUAUAUAUAUAUAUGUAUUUGGUUUACAUAAAUGUGUCUGGCCACACUAAUAGUGACGAGAACUAUUUGUAUGUUGUAGACACAGUAACCAAAUCAGCUGUGCAAUUCUUUUGAUAAAAUUAUUAACUGUCUCAUGAAAAGGUUCAGCUACGUAUAAUCAUGUCAUUGUCUUGAUGUGAUGAUAUAUAAGUUGUCAUGCAUUAUAUGCUUAUCAUCAAAAUAGCAGAAAUAUACUGAAAUUGAGUAUUCUUUACAUUUGGACUUUAAGAAAAAGGACCAAAUUCUAUACUCAGUUAGAAACUAGUCAUCAUAGAUUUGAACCGGAAAACAAGUAUAGUAUGACUAAUUUCUAAGUUGUCUGAUACCAGUGCAGCAUUACACUAAUUGGUAAUUCGCAUUCUGCCUCAUAAUGUCAUGCCAUUUUAUCAUGCCAUAACCCUUAGCACGUACUUUCUUCUUGAGGCAUUUGGUGAAAUUGUAUGUAUGUAUCUGUGUGUUUAUGUUUACUAUAUUAUCAUCCUUGAAUUGGGAGAAUGCUAACCUGUGUUUGUUUUCCCUUCUAUCUCUUGCAGGACGACUGAAUUGGAGAACGAAAAUCAUUAUAGGUAAUUAGGUUCAGUUUAAUUUCAUUUUUUUUUUCACAUUUAUUUCAUUAAUAGUCAUAUAAUAAUUGAAAUUUGCUAUGCUUGCCGUCAUAAUCAUGGAUGUAUGAUGAAUUAAUCCAAUCUUGAUCCAUAUGUAUAAGUGAAUCCAAUCUUAUAAUUUACACAAUUUUAGUAACUUUUAAAUGAAUGAGCACUUCAAUCACUUUUAUAUUCAAAAUUUGAUCUUAUCUCAUUCAAAAAAGAUUCACUUUUAUUAAUUUAGUGGUACGUAUUAAUUUUAAACCUUACUUAAAUAUGACAAAAUUUUGUCAACAAUGAUAUUCAAGUUACCGAAACUGAUAAUCAACCAUGAUCAAAUAACCAUCCAAAAAUCAAUACAAAUAAUAAUUGAUAAAUUUUAAUGAAUUUUAAGAUAUGUAUAUUAAAAUAUAUAUACACUAAUAAACUACAAAAAAAAAAAAAGUGAUCAAUCUUAAAUUAUUUAACCGACAAAGAUUCAAUACAUAAUUAGUACAUUUCCUCUUAUAUUAUUUUUUUUUAGAAAAUUCAAUUUUUUCAUAAAACUUGAAGACAAUACAUGAUUUUUAUAUUAAAUCUCAAAAGAAAAAUUAAGGCUAACUUAAUAAAAAUUCUCAUAUAAACAAAGUACAAGCAUGUAUAAUUGCGAAUAUUUUUCAAAUUUCCUUUUAUACCUAUUGUUUCGUUAUGCUUCAUAUUCAUACGCACACACUCUCUCACACACAUAUAACAAUCUUAAAAGUCAAGGGGUUUCCAUUUUUGUUUUCAAAAAAGCUUUUGUGAAAGCUUUGGAAAGAAUAAAUCUGUUUUCGAUUUUCCCAAAUGAAAUAUGCUAUUUUAUAUAAUCUUAUUUUUAGCUAUAGAAGGCAGUUCAAAUGUUUCUUAUAGCUCGUAACUUUUCUAAUAUAUCUACUAACACAGGUAGUGCAAGUGGAGCAAUGGGAAUAUUCAUGAUAUGCCUCAUAAUAGGUUGUAGAAAACGUAUGUCAUCAACAAGAAAGGAAAAAUUUCAUAUUACUAAUGAGCAGGAUAUUGAAGUAUUCUUAAAAGAUCAUGGAACUCUAGCACAAAAGAAAUAUACAUUUUCAGAAGUCAAGAAAAUGACCAACAAUUUCACGGUUAAAGUGGGUGAAGGUGGAUUUGGUGUUGUAUACAAAGGAGAGUUACGCAAUGGUUAUCAUGUGGCUGUAAAAUUAUUAAGGGCAUCAAAAGGAAAUGGCAAAGACUUUAUCAAUGAAGUUGCCAGUAUCAGUAGAACUUCUCAUGUUAAUGUNNNNNNNNNNNNNNNNNNNNNNNNNNNNNNNNNNNNNNNNNNNNNNNNNNNNNNNNNNNNNNNNNNNNNNNNNNNNNNNNNNNNNNNNNNNNNNNNNNNNNNNNNNNNNNNNNNNNNNNNNNNNNNNNNNNNNNNNNNNNNNNNNNNNNNNNNNNNNNNNNNNNNNNNNNNNNNNNNNNNNNNNNNNNNNNNNNNNNNNNNNNNNNNNNNNNNNNNNNNNNNNNNNNNNNNNNNNNNNNNNNNNNNNNNNNNNNNNNNNNNNNNNNNNNNNNNNNNNNNNNNNNNNNNNNNNNNNNNNNNNNNNNNNNNNNNNNNNNNNNNNNNNNNNNNNNNNNNNNNNNNNNNNNNNNNNNNNNNNNNNNNNNNNNNNNNNNNNNNNNNNNNNNNNNNNNNNNNNNNNNNNNNNNNNNNNNNNNNNNNNNNNNNNNNNNNNNNNNNNNNNNNNNNNNNNNNNNNNNNNNNNNNNNNNNNNNNNNNNNNNNNNNNNNNNNNNNNNNNNNNNNNNNNNNNNNNNNNNNNNNNNNNNNNNNNNNNNNNNNNNNNNNNNNNNNNNNNNNNNNNNNNNNNNNNNNNNNNNNNNNNNNNNNNNNNNNNNNNNNNNNNNNNNNNNGAAUGAUUGCAGUUAGUUUGUGGUGCAUUCAAACGUUUCCAAAGGAUAGACCUACUAUGAGUAGAGUAAUAGAAAUGUUAGAAGGCAACAUCAAUUCCCAUGAAAUACCCCCAAAACCUGUUCUUUCUUAUCCCUCAAUUGGAUUGGUGGAAGAAUGGACCACUAGUUCAUUGCAGUCUGAGUAGAUCUUAAAAGUUGUUUUUUUAAAGAUCACUCAUUAUGUUUGAGUUGUAAUAUCUCUAAAAAACUUUUAAAAUUGACUUUUAUAAUAUAGAUUAAUCAGUUGGAAUAUUAAUUUUAUCUACAUAUGUAUCAGAAUGUUUAGAAAUGAGCAUGUGAUUUGAAAUUUGUAUAAAUGUGUGUGUAUAAACAAAAUUAGAAUGGCCGGAGUAUUUUUGAUAGUCGUGUCUUGACAGAGGGUGGAUCAGAAAUUCAAUAAAUGUCAGAAAUUUGAUAAAAUAGGACAGCUUAAAAACAGAGGAGGCAUAGAACAAGAUAUAACUAACGAAGGACUACAAAUGAAUGUCGGAAGAAAAUUCUAAUUUCUUUAGAUUCUAACGUGGGUUAAAACUGUCGUGGCAAACAAAAAUCACGCGUCAUUAAUGUGUUGUUUAUACUGUUUGGAGCAGAAAAUAUUAAUAUGAUAUGAUUAGAGACAAAUUUAUAGAGAAAUCUAAUAACAGAAAAAAUAUUCGAAAUAAAGAUUAACCUACGAGGGAAAAGAACAAAAGCAAAAGUAACCAAGAGAUUUAUUGGAUUAAGAGAAUUUGUUGGGGGUUAAGAAAUUAAAUUAAUUAUGGAGAAACGUGAUGAAUGUUUUGUAAAUUAUUUUUAAAAAUGAUAUAAAUAAUAUAGUGUGGUGAAAUAAGUAAAUGUGGGGGAGGUGCCAGAGUAUUCCAUAUCCUGAAAUUAAGUAAACUGUAUAUUUGGUAAAUUUUUCCAUAUUGUACUUUAAAAUGAAUUGUUAUAAGAGUCCAGUGGAAAAAUUAGAAGAGAAGGUUGGAAAGGUCCUAAGUUAAACUUUUUCCACUGAUACUUAAGAGUUAUAAAAUUAUUUGAUAGAUUUAAAUGGAAAGGUAAGAAAGAUUUCUGAGCUUAAUUAUCUCGUUUACAAAAUGUUAACAAUUAAUAAUUAUUCAUAAAAAAAAAUUGUGAAUAAUAUUGAGAUGAUCCCAAUUUCAAAGUCUGGCAUAUAACAAUACCGUAAUGGAAUUUGGGUGAUUAGAUGUUACAACUUAGUAUGUUCAUUGAAAGAUGACAGCAACAGUUACCUAACUGUACUACUUUUUUUUAUUACAAUUUUCCAACUGAACCACUGCGUUGCUUUCUCCCGUAUAAGGGAUCAACACUGAAAUUAAUUUUUUUUUAGAUAAAGAAAUAAAGUUUGCAAGUAGAGCCGUCAAAAUGGGUCAUAACCCGCGAGCCAACUCGGCCCGUCACGGGUUCGGGCCGGGUUGGGUUUGAAAAAUACAACCCACUUAUAUGCGGGUCAGAUUUCAACCCGACUCAUUUAAACCCGGUUCAUGCGGGUUGAACCCGUGGUGAGCCGGGUUGGCCCACCAGCCCACCUACCUAAUUUUAUUUUUUUAAUUUAUUAUUUUAUUUAUGAAAUCCUAAAAAAUAAAAUAUUUUCUUCACUCUCACUGUGUAUACCAAAAAAGUAAUCUCUGCUCUCACAAAUCACUUUCACUGUACUUGCUCUCAUUUGACGGUGCUCUAACCCUCACUUCACUGAAAUUCUUCAAGGAGCAUAUAAAACACUCUUCCUUUUUUCUUUUCUUUUCUCCAUAUUUUUGUUUUCUCACUUCUCUUUUUUUUUUUUUUUCAAAAACCCUAUAAUGACAAAAAUAGGGAUUUGCGAAUUUGUUUUUUGUUCUGGAGAUUUGAAGACAUGGAAUGAUUUUUUCAUGUUCUGACAUGCUUGUAUCAUAUUUUGUUCAUUUUAUUUAAAUAAUUUGAGUAUACAUUAUUUGAACAAGCUCUUUUUGAUAUCUUUGAAUUUGACAAUUAUGUUACAGAUUAAACUAUUAAUUUUUUGUUGAUAUUGUUGAGUACUAGUUCUCUUUUUUUUACUAAUAUUUUUUUUAUUGAUUGUCGGAAUUGUUCUGAUAUUAGGAAAAUCUUUAUUAGUGAAUUUGGAAACAACAAUAACAAGGGUCAAGGAUUACAAUAAGAACAAAAAAUCACUACAAAAAAAGUGUUAUUUUACGGAGGUUAUUUUGUGGGGGUUAUAAAAACCCUCCACAAAUUAAUAUAAUUUAAAAUAAUUAAAAGGAAUUGACAGACUCCUGAUGAUAGCGGGAGUUUUGAUAUUAUUCUGAAGAGGUUUAUAUUCUUUAACAAUUAAAAUGAUAUUUUUAUACAAAACCUAGUUUUCUUCUUAGAUUCAAAAUUCCUUAAAUAUGUAUUCCCUCUCACAUUUCCCUCUCCCGAAAUUUGGUUUUUUCUCUAAAAUUUUCCAAAAGCUCACAUUUCUCAGUUUUCCCUAAAUAAGGGUUUCGUUUUCUGAUGGAGGCGCUGCAAUUGUUACCAUGGUGGCUCGAUUCAAACUGCGAGGUGGUUUCUUCUAGGUUUGUUCGCGAUUUGGGAAUUUCUCUAUAAUUAGGGUUCAUCAUUUCAGUGGUACUUUGCGCGAAUUGGGGCUGGCGCUUUGGUUCGAUGGUGUUCACGAUUUAGGGUGGCUACUAUUUUUGGGAUUUUCUGUUUGCAGGUUUGGUGGCUUUACGGAAGCUAGGUUCGAGGAAGACGAAGACACGAGGGGUUUCGCAAUGUUCACGCAUUGAAGUCGCGAGAUUGGCGUUCUCUGGGUUUUUUCUUAUUUUUUUAGGUUCUCUUCUUCUUUGUAGGUGUGAGGCGAUUGAUGAAGGAGGAGAAGACGAACCGACGUUUCUCGCGAUUCUGGUUUUUGUUGCAGUUGAAGGUGGAGUGAUUGCAACGAUGUGGUCGAUUAUGAAGUUCUCGCACUUGGGUUCUAAGUGUGUGUUGAUGCUGCAAGGGAGGCACUGCUUGCGCAAGGACAGAGACGAACUCACGGUGGUCAUGGUGACGGAUGAUGGGCUUUUGCGUUUGAAAAGAUUACAAAAACUCGAAGUUCUCUAGUUCAAUUAAUGCUUUCAGAAAAAUGGUAUAACCAACAAAUUCUGGGUUCUAAUGAUUUGACUUCAUAAUAAUUAUUGUCUAAUUUCAUUGAUGUAGCAUGCAGCAAAUGGUUUCUGCAGAAGAUUGGCCAUGAAGGGUGUAACUAAACUACAAAAUUUUGGAUCAGUUUUCAAUAUUUUAGUACAUGUUUUCAGGAAUAAGGAUAUCCCACAAAAUUUGAUUUACUCAUUCCUCUUGUUCAUUUUCUUUUCCAGUUUAAUAUUGGGGUUCUAAUAAUAUGAAUCUCCUUAUUUCUGUAUGGUUACUAAGUGAUUCAAAUUCUAGUAUAAUCUACUUUUCCAAAUUGAAAAACGCGAGCAACACUUUCUUCAACUCUUCUUUAGGAAAAAGUAUAUUUUUAAUCUGAUAAUUUUUGUUAAAGUUGGUGUUAGUUCAUAUACUUUUAAAUUGAUGAAUUAGUCUUUCAAACUUUUAAAAGUAUGUGAAGUCAAUUUUUUGUCAUAUUUUUGAUAAUUGUUUUGUCAUAUUUUUCUACCUAGAAAAGCUUGUAUGAUGUAGAUUUUAACUCUCUGCAUAAUUUCUGAAAUAUUGUUUUGCUUGCGGGUACAACAUUGUUGGUCCAUUAUUCUUAAUCUAGCAUAUUUUGUAGUGCUGGUUACUUUUGUAUAUGGAGGUUUCAUUGAAAUUGAAUUAUGUUUUCUAGUUAUGAUGUUUCACAAUGGUAUUCUUUUGUCUUGUUUUUGCUUCUAUAGGUUCACUGUGAUAAGUAACAUACAUUUUUAUAUUUUUGUCUCGUUUUUGCUUUAUAGCUUUAGUGUGAUAAGUAACAUACAUUUUUAUUCUCAUUUCAGGAAGAAUGGAUUUACUGUGGAACACUAUGUUUGGAGUGGGCAUACUAUUGGAAUCAAAUUAAAGAAAACUUGAAAACAAGUGGCACUGGAAGAAUGAGUUUAAAGGAAGUAGCUGAAGAAAUGAAGUUGUGUUAAACUUUUAUUUUGAAUUUUGUUUAAGUCAUCAAGUUUAUAUGUUUUCAAUUAGUCAAGUUGUUUUCGACUAUGUUAGAUUUUGUAGUAAAUCUUGCAAUAUUAAUUAAAUAUUAUGUAUUCUUUUUUAUAUUUAGAGUGUAAUUGUAAAUUAAUGUAAUUUAUUUUAAUUCAUUAAUAAAAUUAAUUUUGAUUAUUUUUUUAUACUUUACAAUUUAAUAUAUUUUAUUUAUUUCUUAUUGAAAAAAACAAAUUUAAUUAAAUUAAGAAAUUAUAAAUGUAGGUGAGUAAUUAUAAAUAAAGGAGGUUUUAAACCUCCACAAAAUAAUAGCGAUAAAUAAAAGAGGGUAACACCCUCCACAAAAAAACCUCUGCAAUAUACAUUUGAUACCAGGGGUUAUGAAAAACCUCUGCAAAUUGUUUGUGGGGAUUCUAACUGUGGGGGUUUGAAAAACUUUCGGAUUUCGUUUUGCGGAGAGUGAAAACCUCCGCAAAUUAGAAAAAUAACCUUUGCUAAAUAACUGUUUUUUUUAGUGAAUGAUGAAUAUAAUAAACUUAUUUGUAUGUUUUUUGUGUUUGUUUUUGAAUGACAUUUGGAUUAUAUUGUACUUUUUAUUAUUAUUUUGAAUUGUCUUUAACAUAAUUUUUUGGGAGUGAAAAUUGUUUAAAUUUAAAUUACAGAAAGUUUUUAUUUUUUUUAUUUUAAAAAAAAUGUAAUUAAAUGGGCUAGUGAGUCAACCCGUUUACCCACCAACCCGUGGUGGGUCGGGCUGGGUUCAAGUUUUUCUGGCUCGCUAGUAAAUGAGCCGGGUUGGGUUGGCUCACUAAGUGACCAACCCGUGGUGGGCCGGGCCGGUUCGAGCCGGGUUACCCAUUUUGACAACUCCAUUUGCAAGAUAUAUGUAUUGAAAUAAGAUUACAGCAUAUGGGAAGGAAAUUAUAAAUUAACACCUUUCUUUUUAAUUUUUAUUCUGUAUGUUUGGCAAAUAUAUAUAUAUAUAUAUAUAUAUAUAUAUAUNNNNNAAGUGAUUGUAAAAGUAGAUUGUACGUUUUCUUUUUAUCUGAACAACAUUUCAACCAAAUUUUCACCAAUAUUCUAGGAAUCCGAGACGAAAUCAUCUUUGCUCAUCUACUUUUGCAGGAAAUUGGGACAAAAAGAGGAAACUCGUUAUUUUAGGUAAUAAAAAUCUAUAUUUCCUUUCAUACUUUCACAUCCACCACUUCUUUUAAUACUAUAGUUUUGUGUUUCUCUGUUAUGUCUUCAUGAUUGUAUACAUGUCAUAAUCAUGUAAAAUAAUCACAAUUUAAAUUACUGCUUAAUAUAAUUUUCACUAAAUAUUUCCUACUGGUUUCUAAUAAAUUUUCAAAGUUGAGUAAAAUAAAAUUUACUAACUGUCAACACCCAAUUUCGUCUGGAUGAAUAAAUAAUAGGGUUAGAUUCUAUUUUAGUCACAUUUUAUUUUUGUUUUAUUUAUUUAUUUUGCGUUUUUAAUUUUUAGUUUACUUUUGAUUUAGCUCUUUAAUUAUUAUUAGAUUUUAUUUUAUUUUAAAAAAAAAACGAAAAAAGAAAAAAGAAAAAUCAAUAGUAUAAAAAAUAAACAAAGGGAAAAGAAAAAGAAAAGAAAAAAAAAUAAAUAAAAAAUACUAUUUCGUUUUACUGUUAAUUUGGGGUGCAAAUAGUAAAACGAAAUAGUAUAUUUUUUAUUUUUCUUUUUAUUUUACUUUAUUUUAUUUAAAAACUAAACAAAAAUUAUAAAAAUAAAAAUAAAAUGAAAUAAGACAACAAAUAAAAGCAAGUCCUAUUAUUUAGUCGGGUGUUGACCCUAACCAUAAUUCUUUUUACUAUUUACAUUUGAGAUUAGAAGAAGAUCAGAGAAUGAGGUGUCAACAUUUCUCAUCUGCUAACAGGUGUUACAGGUACUGUAAGUGGAGCAAUGGGAAUAUUCAUGAUAUGCCUCGUAAUAGGUUGUAGAAAACGUAUGUCAUCAACAGGAAAGGGAAAAUUUCAUAUUACUAAUGAGCAAGAUAUUGAAGUAUUCUUAAGAGAUCAUGGAAGUCUAGCACAAAAGAAAUAUAAAUUUUCAGAAGUCAAGAAAAUGACGAAGAACUUCACAGUUAAGCUGGGUGAAGGUGGGUUUGGUGUUGUAUACAAAGGAGAGUUACGCAAUGGUUACCAUGUGGCUGUUAAAUUAUUAACGGCAUCAAAAGGAAAUGGAAAAGACUUUAUGAAUGAGGUUGCCAGUAUCAGUAGAACUUCUCAUGUUAAUGUUGUCCAACUUCUUGGAUUCUGUUUAGAAGGAAAGAAGAAAGCCCUUAUUUAUGAAUUCAUGCCUAAUGGUUCCCUCGACAAGUUCAUCAGUAAUAAGGGACUAGAAAGAACUUCAUCUUUGACUUGGGAUAAUCUGUUGCAAAUUGCAAAAGGGAUAGCCAAAGGAUUAGAGUACUUGCACAAGGGAUGCAACACUCGUAUUUUACANUUUGACAUAAAACCACAUAACAUUCUUUUGGAUGACAACUUCUGUCCCAAGAUAUCAGACUUUGGGCUUGCAAAACUUUGUCCUGGGAAAGAGAGCACUAUUUCAGUUUCAGANGCNAGAGGAACNAUAGGNUAUGUAGCUCCUGAAGUGUGCAACAAACAUUUUGGUGGAGUAUCACAAAAAUCUGAUGUGUAUAGCUAUGGAAUGAUGCUACUAGAAAUAGUGGGAGUGAGGAAUAAUAUUAAUGAAGAAGCCACUGAAACAAGUGAAUACUUCCCAGAUUGGAUAUACAGAAAGCUGGAGCAAGACCAAGAUCUGAGAAGUGAUGAUGUGAUAGCGUCAAAAGAAAAAGAGACAGAAAGGAGAAUGAUUGCAGUUAGUUUGUGGUGCAUUCAAACGUUUCCAAAGGAUAGACCUACUAUGAGUAGAGUAAUAGAAAUGUUAGAAGGCAACAUCAAUUCCCAUGAAAUACCCCCAAAACCUGUUCUUUCUUAUCCCUCCAUUGGAUUGGUGCAAGAAUGGAGCACUAGUUCCUUUCAGUCUGAGUAGAUCUUAAAUGUUGUUUUUUUAAAGAUCACUCAACACAAUUAUGUUUGAGUUGUAAUAUCUCAAAUAAACUUUUAAUAUUGAC
rnacentral:lncRNA from 1 species